GAUGAACGCUGGCGGCGUGCCUAAUACAUGCAAGUCGAGCGAACAGACGAGAGUGCUUGCACUCUCUGACGUUAGCGGCGGACGGGUGAGUAACACGUGGGUAACCUACCUAUAAGACUGGGAUAACUUCGGGAAACCGGAGCUAAUACCGGAUAAUAUUUAGCUUCGCAUGAAGCAAUAGUGAAAGACGGUUCUGCUGUCACUUAUAGAUGGACCCGCGGUGUAUUAGCUAGUUGGUGAGGUAACGGCUCACCAAGGCAACGAUACAUAGCCGACCUGAGAGGGUGAUCGGCCACACUGGGACUGAGACACGGCCCAGACUCCUACGGGAGGCAGCAGUAGGGAAUCUUCCGCAAUGGACGAAAGUCUGACGGAGCAAUGCCGCGUGAGUGAAGAAGGUUUUCGGAUCGUAAAACUCUGUUGUAAGGGAAGAACAAGUACGUUAGUAACUGAACGUACCUUGACGGUACCGUACCAGAAAGCCACGGCUAACUACGU
rnacentral:rRNA from 1 species